GAUGAACGCUGGCGGCGUGCCUAAUACAUGCAAGUCGAGCGAACAGACGAGGAGCUUGCUCCUCUGACGUUAGCGGCGGACGGGUGAGUAACACGUGGAUAACUUACCUAUAAGACUGGGAUAACUUCGGGAAACCGGAGCUAAUACCGGAUAAUAUAUUGAACCGCAUGGUUCAAUAGUGAAAGACGGUUUUGCUGUCACUUAUAGAUGGAUCCGCGCCGCAUUAGCUAGUUGGUAAGGUAACGGCUUACCAAGGCGACGAUGCGUAGCCGAUCUGAGAGGGUGAUCGGCCACACUGGAACUGAGACACGGUCCAGACUCCUACGGGAGGCAGCAGUAGGGAAUCUUCCGCAAUGGGCGAAAGCCUGACGGAGCAACGCCGCGUGAGUGAUGAAGGUCUUCGGAUCGUAAAACUCUGUUAUUAGGGAAGAACAAAUGUGUAAGUAACUAUGCACGUCUUGACGGUACCUAAUCAGAAAGCCACGGCUAACUACGUG
rnacentral:rRNA from 1 species